CUGCCAAAAAUUUUUAGCGCCACCUUUUCCCCCCUUAGCCUUCUCGAACCCUAACCUAUUUUUCUUUCCCUUUCCUUAUACAAUCUCUUCAUGCAAUGAACCCUUGCUGUUUUUUCUUCCUCCUCCUUCCUUGGUCUCUGAUCGAGUUGCCCCUCCUCCAUGACGUGAAGACCACUUCUCUCACUAUGAACGUUGCCGGCGUCAUCAAGGAUGGGCUCCUCAUUGCCUUCUCCCGGUCCAUCAUCCGUGACACAAUCAACCCCGUCAACCUCUUCCUCUAUGAUGUCACCUUCCUCAGCGUUUCCUACUACAACAAGGGGCCUUGUGGCCUCUUCUCCCACCACAUCCAUCCGUCUCUAGGGUUUCUUUGGAUUUCGGGAAUUAUGGUGAAGACUCUAGAUGAUUUUGGGUAUUCUGCAUCAAAACGUUGUGAGGCAUGGCUGAAGGUAAAGCGUGAUUAUGUUGAAGGAAUAGGUGAUAGUAUUGAUCUUGUUCUUAUUAGUGCUUGGCAUGGAAAUGGAAGAAAAGUUGGAUGUCCUUUCCUCGUGGCAUGCUACAAUCUAGAUACUGAAGAAUUUCAAAGUGUCUGUCGCAUCAUGUCUGGUUUUUCAGAUUCAUUUUAUUUAGAGGUACUCUUUUUUUGUUUGGUUUCAUGCCCAGCUCAUACAUUCCAUGCAUAGCAGAUUAAGCAAAUUGAUUAUUUUGAAAUUUUGCUAUAUAUAUAUAUAUAUAAUAAUAAUAAUAAUAAUAAUAAUAAUAUAAUUAUUAUUAUUAUUAUUAUAUAAUUCUUAAGCCUAAGAUUAAUGGUAUUUUUGGCCUAAGAUUUAUAUUUCUCUUCUGUUACCUUCACCAUGCUAUGCUCCAAUGAAAGGUAGAAACUUUAAUAAAUUAAAGAAUGUAUGUUUGGUGCUUUUGAGCUUCCCUGUCAGGUAAUUAGUUUGUGUUUGAUGUAUCUGUCUUUACUGUGUGACUUCCUUUUACCAUCAUGCUUCGUUCAACUACUUUACUUUAUCAAGAUCGAUUAGAAAAAGGAUUAAAUUUUAUUUUCCCUUUCCAAUCGAUAACUUUUGAAUUGGUCAUGACUUUUACAACUGCUUCUAAGAUUCUGCUCAAUUGCCUUCUUCUUAAAGAAUUGGACGCUCUGUAGUUGUGGGCGAAGUAAUACUGAUGACCUACUUGCACAAAAAGCACAAUGAAAAGAGAAAUACAUAAUUAAUAUAAGACAGUUCUAUAGUGUUGUAGUGCAAAUGUACUAUUAUUAAAGGUUAAAACAAAAUAAUAAUCUUAAAAUUACCAACUUGUGUUGGAAAGCUUGCAAUGCUCCCCUUUGAUGGAUCAAAUCAAGCUCGAUUAUUAUAAGUUAAAGGUAGUAAUCUGUAGCCAAAUGUGAUGGAUAUAGUUUCCCAUUAGAUGUGUAAUGGGCAUUUUUCUUGCAGGGGAAUGGUUGGCUGAUCAAGAACCGGACAAGUAAUAUAUAUUAUGUGACUUCCUUUUCUCCAGAACAUAAAUAAAUAAAGGAAAUAAUGUCUUCUAGUUUUAAGUCUGAAAUUUAUUUCUUGUUUUUAUUUUUGAUUUCUCUUGCAUGACAUAAUGUUUUCUGCUUGAUUUUUCUGUUGGAGCAGUUCAUGCUAUCCGAUGGUUUUGGAAGAAGAGAAACAAAAUAUCAAAAUGAAAUCUUUCAUUUUAAAACUUCAUUCUUCUUGCAUUUAUAGUCUCUAGCUUUUCUUGGUGUUUAGAACAAAAGUGAAAAACUAGUUCAGCAAGCCUAUCAUUGGAUUAAGGUAUUAUUAAUUUUCCCACUGUUUAAAACUGUUAAAAGAUAACGGAUUUUAUCCUUCCACAAUCAGGAUUCAUUCUCUGGUUGACAAACAGAAACUGAGAUUGAAGCGGUAGAUAUUGAAUACUAUUUUAGCGCGGAUAAUCUCUGUAAGGACAUUUUUCUUCGUGGCAAGAUGGAUGAUCAAGGUUGGGUUCCCGUCUCAUUGAUUACUACCUUUAACAUGGUCAAAAGGGUGACCACGAGCAUAGCGAUGAUAUUGAAUGCUCUAAGAGAUUCGACAGAACUUGAAAUACAA